rnacentral:misc_RNA from 1 species
AACGCACAUUGCGCCCUUUGGCAUUCCGAAGGGCAUGCCUGUUCGAGCGUCAUUAUCACCCCUCAAGCCCUUCGGCUUGGUGUUGGACGGUUUGGUGAAUAUAUUUUUUAUUUACCCCUCCCAAAGACAAUGACGGCGGCCUCGUUGGACCCCCGGUACACUGAGUUCUUCACCGAACACGUACUGGAAAAAGGGUUCACGGGCAACGGUCUGCCUCCCCUCAGGGAGAACUUUUUUCUAAGGUUGACCUCGGAUCAGGUAGGGAUACCCGCUGAACUUAA